CUACCGACACGCGUUUACGACGUUCCGCGUUCACCACUACCCCCACACCUCUCCAAUCCUUGGAGUACAGGGAUUAUGUUUUGCUGGGGAAUUGGUGAAUGGGGGUUGAGUCCGCUCUGCCGACCACCCAUAUCGGCCUGUGUAUGAGGUAUUUCCGCGCCUCCGCCGGGUGCAGGUGUACCAGCAUUGUUGUGUGUGUCAUCACCUCGUUCAGAUUCCCCAGAGAAGUUUCCGCAGUUUCGGCUCCGAAAUGGUGGACAUUUUUUGUCCUCUAACAGCCCCCACCCUGCUAUCACCGCAAGACCCCUCCUAACAUUUUUCCACAUCUCUUUUAAAGGAAGCGAUCCUGGAUUGGGAAAAUCUGCUAUUCGAGUGGUACUUCUCCAUAGAAAAGUAUGUAAGCAGCCAUUGCUUAAGUGAAGAUUGGACAGUAAGCAAGUAGCCAUUGCGGAUGGCCUGAUUGCACCUUCACAUCCAUUUUGCAAGUGGAAUCACAGGAGAGUAACCAGAGAAAAUUAUCCGGACAAUUUCACAUCCAUCCUGCAGUUCAGAGCUCUGGAUAUAAUCUUAUUGCAGCCCUACCUGGAAGAGACCCACAGACCACAGAGAAGCAAUGAUGAUGAGAGGCAGCUAUAAACCAAUCAACAGCUGCAACACCAGCAAGAGCUUAAGAUGGGGAUGGGGCAGCAGUGGAAAGUCUAAUUAGAAGGUGCAGGAUUUUUAACAAACAGGAUACUUUUGCAGCAGCAAUAUUGCUCAUAAAAGGUGAUGAAAAGGGUAUCCCACUUUGUCUAUGUUGAGGCCCCAUGUGCCACCUAGGCACUAAGGGUUCAGACGACGACAAUGACUUUGUCUCUGCACUCACAGAAAAGAUGUAAACAAAUACAUCUGUACUCUUGUGAAAAAUGUAAGCAGUAAAAAUAUCUUAU